CCUACGGGUGGCAGCAGUGAGGGAUAUUGGUCAAUGGACGAGAGUCUGAACCAGCCAAGUAGCGUGAAGGAUGACUGCCCUAUGGAUUGUAAACUUCUUUUAUAUGGGAGUAAAAUGUUCCACGUGUGGGAUUUUGUAUGUACCAUAUCAUUCAGGCUCGGCUAACUCCGUGCCAGCAGCCGCGGUAAUACGGAGGAUGCGAGCGUUAUCCGUGUUUAUUGGGUUUAAAGGGUGCGUAGGCGGAAUGCCAAGUCAGAGGUAAAAUCGCGGGGCUCAACCUCGCUCCGCUGUGGAAACUGGCGUUCGUGAGUGGGCGAGAGGUAUGCGGAAUGCGUGGUGUAGCGGUGAAAUGCAUAGAUAUCACGCAGAACUCCGAGUGCGAAGGCAGCAUACCGGCGCCAAACUGACGCUGAAGCACGAAAGCGUGGGUAGCGAACAGGAUUAGAUACCCCUGUAGUC
rnacentral:rRNA from 1 species